UCGAGCGGCAGCAGAACGGGUACUUGUACCUGGUUGGCGAGCGCGGACGGGGUGAGUAAUGCCUAGGAAUCUGCCUGGUAGUUGGGGGGAUAAACGCUCGGAAACGGACGCUUAAUUACCGCAUACGUCCUCACGGGAGAAGCAGGGGACCUUCGGGCCUUGCGCUAUCAGAUGAGCCUAGGUCGGAUUAGCUAGUUGGUGAGGUAAUGGCUACCAAGGCUACGAUCAGUAGCUGGUCUGAGAGGAAUUGGCCAGCCACAUUGGGACUGAGACACGGCCCAAAACUCCUACGGGAGGCAGCAGUGGGGAAUCUUGCGCAAUGGGGCGAAAGCCUGACGCAGCCAUGCCGCGUGGAUGAUGAAGGUCUUAGGAUUGUAAAUCCCUUUCAUGGCGGGGCGAUAAUGACGGUACCCCGCAGAAAGAAAGCCCCGGCUAAACUUCGUGCCCAGCAGCCGGCGGUAAUACGAAGGGGGGCUAGGGUAAGCGUUGCUCGGAAUUACUGGGCGUAAAGGGGCGCCGUAGGGCGGACAGUUAAGUCGGGGGGGUGAAAAGCCCCGGGGCUCAACCUCCGAAUUUGCCCUUCGAUACUGGGCUGUCUUGAGUACGGGAGAGGUGAGUGGAACUCCGAGUGUAGAGGUGAAUUCGUAGAUAUUCGGAAAGAACACCAUGUGGCGAAAGGCGACUCACUUGGCCCGUUACUUGACGCUGAGGGCGCGAAAGCGUGGGGAGCAAACAGGAUUAGAUAACCCUGGUUGGUCCACGCUGGUAAACGAUGAGUGCUAGUUGUCGGGCGGCAUGCCGUUCGGUGACGCCAGCUAAGCUAACGCAUUAAGCACUCCCCUGGGGAGUACGGUCGCAAGAUUAAAACUCAAAGGAAUUGACGGGGGCCCGCACAAGCGGUGGAGCAUGUGGUUUAAUUCGAAGCAACGCGCAGAACCUUACCACCUUUUGACAUGCCUGGACCGAUGCAGAGAUGCAUCUUUCCCUUCGGGGACUAGGACACAGGUGCUGCAUGGCUUGUCGUCAGCCUCGUGUCGUGAGAUGUUGGGUUAAGUCCCGCAACGAGCGCAAACCCCUCGCCUUUAUUUGCCAUCCAUUAAGUUGGGCACUCUAAAGGGAACCGGCCGGUGGUAAGGCCGGAGGAAGGUGGGGAUGAACGUCCAAGUCCUCAUGGCCCUUUACGGGGUGGGCUACACACCGUGCUACAAAUGGCGACUACAGAGGGCUGCAACUCAGCGAUGGUGAGCCAAUCCCUAAAAGUCGUCUCAGUUCGGAUUGCACUCUGCAACUCGAGUGCAUGAAGUCGGAAUCGCUAGUAAUCGCGGAUCAGCAUGCCGCGGUGAAUACGUUUCCCGGGGCCCUUGUACACCACCGCCCGUCACACCAUGGGAGUUGGCUUUACCCGAAGACUGUGUGCUAAACCGCAAGGAGGCAGCAGGCCACGGUAGGGUCAGCGACUGGGGUG
rnacentral:rRNA from 1 species